rnacentral:lncRNA from 1 species
ACUAUCAAGAUCUCCACUUAGGGAAGUGGGAAUCUUAUUUGCGGAACAUUGGGCAGAAGCUUUGCCAUUGGCUGGUGGAGAAGGAGGAGGCAGAAUGUCUGCAUUGUUACACCAUACAGCUCAAACUUCAGAAGAUUUUGGGGCCUCUGAAAAAUGGAACCAAAUUCUCUGAGGACUAAAGUCCCAGCUUUCUUAUCUGAUUUGGGGAAGGCCACAUUGAGGGGAAUCAGAAAGUGUCCCCGAUGUGGCACAUACAAUGGAACCCGGGGACUGAGCUGUAAGAACAAGACAUGUGGAACCAUAUUCCGCUACGGUGCACGCAAGCAGCCUAGUGUUGAAGCUGUCAAAAUCAUUACAGGCUCUGAUCUUCAGGUCUACUCAGUGCGGCAAAGAGACCGGGGCCCUGAUUACCGAUGCUUUGUGGAGCUCGGGGUUUCAGAGACAACAAUCCAGACAGUGGAUGGGACGAUCAUCACUCAGCUGAGCUCUGGACGGUGUUAUGUCCCCUCAUGCCUGAAAGCUGCCACUCAAGGCGU